GAGGAAGCAUGCGUCAUACAUCAUUUGCUCCUGAUCCAGGAGAGCCCUCCGCCACCAAUGAAAGAAAAGGUGGGUGAGCCCUAGACGUGAUCCACGCACCUACUCAACAAGGCAGAACGGAUUUCAGUUUAGCAUUCUCUUUUUGAAAAUGCCACCUUGACUGCUGCAGGCUUUUCAUCUCCUUUCUUUGCUUUUGCUGCUUAGAGGCAAGUCUUGCUGCACGAGCUUGCAAGGAAGCCUUCUCAGGGGUGUCGACCUACGAUGUAAAACCAAGUG
rnacentral:lncRNA from 1 species